CCAUCGGUCCUUCAUCCAAGAACCGAUAAACGCGGUGACCGGCGCCUUCACGGCAUUAAUGAUUAAUUUUAUAAUCCAGUCUGGUAGUUUUAAGAAGCGAGUUCUUGCAUCCGCCCUAUUCGAGUCGGCGGGGCGGUGGAGCGCCAGCGAGCCCAAGGUCUCCCAGGCGAGCAUGGCAGGACUGGAGGGCUCCCGGCAGGGCGCCUCGGCGUCCAUCGGGACCCCGACGGAGGUGCCGGAGAUCUUUCGGCUACAACGCCGGGCAGGUGGGGCUCGUUAGCCGUGGUAGGCAAUCUGCCUAGGAGAGCAAACUCCGAACAACAAACCCGGGCAGGUGAGGUUCGUUAGCCGUGGUAGGCAAUUCACCUAGGAGAGCAAACUCCGAACAAUAAACCCGGGCAGGUGGAGGUCGUUAGCGAAAGCAGUUCAUCUAGGAGAGCAAACUCCGAUUACAAACCCGGGCAGGUGGAGGUCGUUAGCGAAAGCAAUUCAUCUAGGAGAGCAAACUCCGAUUACAAACCCGGGCAGGUGGAGGUCGUUAGCGAAAGCAAUUCAUCUAGGAGAGCAAACUCCGAUUACAAACCCGGGCAGGUGGAGGUCGUUAGCGAAAGCAGUUCACCUAGGAGAGCAAACUCCGAUUACAAACCCGGGCAGGUGAGGUUCGUUAGCCGUGGUAGGCAAUUCACCUAGGAGAGCAAACUCCGAACAAUAAACCCGGGCAGGUUGGGCUCGUGAGCCGUCAUAGGUAAUACACCUAGGAGAGCAAACUCCGAUCAUAAAACCCGGGCAGGUUGGGCUCGUGAGCCGUCAUAGGUAAUACACCUAGGAGAGCAAACUCCGAACAAUAAACCCGGGCAGGUUGGGCUCGUGAGCCGUCAUAGGUAAUACACCUAGGAGAGCAAACUCCAUACAUAAAACCCGGGCAGGUGGAGCUCGUCAGCCGUGGUGGGCAAUCUGCCUAGGAGAGCAAACUCCGAACAAUAAACCCGGGCAGGUGGAGCUCGUCAGCCGUGGUAGGCAGUUUGCCUAGGAGAGCAAACUCCGAACAAUAAACCCGGGCAGGUGGAGCUCGUCAGCCGUGGUAGGCAGUCUGCCUAGGAGAGCAAACUCCGAACAAUAAACCCGGGCAGGUGGAGCUCGUCAGCCGUGGUAGGCAGUCUGCCUAGGAGAGCAAACUCCGAACAAUAAACCGGGGCUUGUGGUGCUCGUUAGAUGUCGUAGACAAUCCACGUGAUGGGAACACCAAAGAAAAGGAAAAUAAAAAGGAACACCAGAAAAAGGAAAAUAUAGUAACAAAACUUCAAAAAAAUAAAAUAAAAAACACAGAUCAUCCACCUUCAGGCCCUAACAUCUCCAAAAUUAUGGGUGAGUCUUUUCUGGGGAGAAAGAGGCUCAUCCAGACCAGACCAAAGAACAUCAAAAAGGGAUGAUAUACAAAGGAACACCCAAAAAAUGGGAAAAAGAAAAAAACAUCGAAAAAGAAAAGUAACAAUAACAGAACAACGUCAAGAAAAGUAACAUACAAAGAAAUAUCAUCCACCAUUCGGCCCCAAACUAACAUCACCAAAAUUAUGGGUGGGUCUUUUCUGGGGAGAAAGAGGCUCACCCAGACCAACGAACAUCAAAGAGGGAUGAUAGAGAAAAGAACACCAAAAAAUAGGGGAAAAAAGAGCAAAAAAACAUCUCAAAAGAAAAGUAACAGCAAUAACAGAACAUCAAGAAAAGUAACAUACAAAGAAACAUCAUCCACCGUUCGGCCCCAAAGUAACAUCACCAAAAUUAUGGGUGGGUCUCUUCUGGGAGGAACGCGGCUCACCCAGACCAACGAAGAACAUCAACAAGAGGAUGAUAUGAAAUAAAAGAACAUUAAAAAACACGAAGAAAAGAAAUAAGAAGAAAAAGAACAGAAAAAAACAUCGGAAAAGAAAAACAAGAAGAAAAACACAUCGAGAAGAAAAAUAUAAGAAACAU